rnacentral:rRNA from 1 species
CUCGUAGGUGGCCAACUAAGUCAGACGUGAAAUCCCUCGGCUUAACCGGGGAACUGCGUCUGAUACUGGAUGGCUAGAGAUUGGGAGAGGGAUGCGGAAUUCCAGGUGUAGCGGUGAAAUGCGUAGAUAUCUGGAGGAACACCGGUGGCGAAGGCGGCAUCCUGGACCAACACUGACGCUGAGGAGCGAAAGCCAGGGAGCAAACG